rnacentral:rRNA from 1 species
GAUGAACGCUGGCGGCGUGCUUAACACAUGCAAGUCGAACGGGAUCCAAGGGGUGCUUGCACUUUUUGGUGAGAGUGGCGAACGGGUGAGUAACACGUGAGUAACCUGUCCUUUUCUUUGGGAUAAGCAUUCGAAAGGGUGUUUAAUACCUUAUGUUCUGUCUGCCUCGCAUGGGGUGGGUGGGAAAGGCUUUGGCCGGAUUUGGGUGGGCUCGCGGCCUAUCAGCUUGUUGGUGGGGUGAUGGCUUACCAAGGCUUUGACGGGUAGCCGGCCUGAGAGGGUGGUCGGUCACAUUGGGACUGAGAUCCGGCCAAGAGUCCUGCGGGAGGAAACAGUGGGGAUAUUGCACAAUGGGCGAAAGCCUGAUGCAGCGACGCCGCGUGGGGGAUGAAGGCCUGCGGGUUGUAAACUUCUUUUGCUCUGAACAAGGAAUGCCAGUGGGUGUGUUGAGUGUAGGGGUUGAUGAGCGCCGGCUAACUACGUG